rnacentral:sRNA from 1 species
CGGCCUUAGGCGGAGGUGAAGGUACAAGCAGAAAAGGGAGCGAGACCAAGUGACCUUGGGCAAAUGCCCAAUUGCCUCAGUUUCCUCAUCCGUAAAGAGGUGGUAAUAACAGUACACACAUCAUGGUUUGCUGUGAGGAUUAAAUUAGCUAAUUUUUGUAGACUGUACAACAGCGCCUGGCACAUAGAGCACAUUCUUCAUAUUUUAACUCACAUCAUCCUUGGAGCUGCUUUGAAAGUACAGGGGAACCUUGAACAACACUUGUCUGACCUGCAGGGUCCACUUAUAUGAGGAUUUUUUUCAACCAAAGGCAGGAUGAAAACAGUAUUUGUAGGAUGCAGAACUGGUAUACACGUGUUCCACACUGUGCGACUUGAGUGUGUGUGGAUUGUGGUAGACAGGGCUCCUGGAACCAUGGCCCGAGCUCACAGAGAGAGGCUGUCAUUAGGGGCUUCCUUGUUUAUACUUGACAGGUUGCAGCGAGCCAAGGUGUUUCAACGGGGGCACCUGCCAGCAGGCCCUGUACUUCUCCGAUUUCGUGUGCCAGUGCCCCGAAGGAUUUGCUGGGAAGUGCUGUGAAAUAGAUACUAGGGCCACGUGCUACGAGGACCAGGGCAUCAGCUACAGGGGCACGUGGAGCACAGCGGAGAGCGGCGCCGAGUGCACCAACUGGAACAGCAGCGCGCUGGCCCAGAAGCCCUACAGCGGGCGGAGGCCAGACGCCAUCAGGCUGGGCCUGGGGAACCACAACUACUGCAGGUGAGGGCACAUCCCCAAGGAGGGAUUCCCCCUGUGAGAAGCUGCUACAGCUGGGGAAAGAUUCUGUCAGAUCCAUCAGGGUUCUCCCAAGAAACAUAACCAAUACAGGAUGGAUGGAUGGAUAGAUGAUAGACAGAUGAUAGAUGAUAGGUGAUAGAUGAUAGAUUGAUAGAUGAUAGAUUAUUGAUAGGUGAUAGAUUAAAUAGAUGAUACAUAGAUGAUAGAUAGAUGAUAAAUAGAUGAUAGAUGGAUAGAUGAUAGACGGAUGACAGAUAGAUAGAUGAUAGGUGAUAAAUAGAUGAUAGAUUGAUAGAUGAUUGAUAGAUAAAUUAGAUAAAUAGAUGAUAGAUACAUAGAUGAUAGAUGGUAGAUAGACAGAUGAUAGAUGAUAGAUGGAUAGAUGAUAGAUAGAUGAUAGGUGAUAGAUGAUAGAUAGAUGAUUAGAAAGAUAAAUAGAUGAUAGAUACAUAGAUGAUAGACUGAUAGAUGAUAGAUGAUUGAUAGAUGAUAGAUUAAAUAGAUGAUAGAUAAUGAUAAAUAGAUGAUAGAUGGAUAGAUUAUAGAUGAUAGGUGAUAGAUUGAUAGAUGAUAGAUGAUUGAUAGGUGAUAGAUUAGAUGAUAGAUACAUAGGUGAUAGAUAGUACAUGUAAGAUGAUAGAUGAUAGACAGACUGAUAGAUGAUAGAGAGAUAGACAGAGAUAGAGAGAGAGGAGAGAGAGACAGAGAGAGGGAGAAUGUGUGUGAACCCAAAGUAUCUGAGACAGGUCUCAAUCAAUUUAGAAAGUUGAUUUUGCCAAGGUUAAGGACACCCCGUGACACAGCCUCAGGAGGUCCUGAGGACAUCUGCCCAAGGUGGUCAGGGCACAGCUUGCCUUUAGACGUUUUAGGGAGUCAUGAGGCAGCAAUCAACAUGUGUGAGAUGUACAUCGGUUUGGUCUGGAAAGUUGUGAUAACUCAAAGCAAGGGCUUCCAGGCCAUAGGUAGAUAAGAGACAAAAGGCUGUAUUCUGAGUCCUUGAUCAGCUUUUCACUGAACACACAAUUGAGUCUGGCUCAGUUGAUCUGCAUUUUUACAUAAACAAUAGGGCAGAGGAAGCAAUCAGAUAUGCAUUUGUCUCAGAUGAGCAGAGGGAUGAUUUUCUGUCCUGCACCUGGGAAGAUAAGCUAUCCGUUUACAAUGCCAAGGUGAAAGUCAACAGAACUGCUUUAGGGUAAAGAUCUUUAGGCCUGCAAGGAAUGUCCUUGUAGGGAAUUUAAAAAAAAACAAAACUUUGCAGCUAUCUUAUUGAGGAAUAAAUGAGAGGCAGGUUUGCCUGACGUAGUUCCCGGCUUGACAUUUCCCUUGGCUCACUGACGUUGGGGUCCCGAGAUUUAUUUUCCUUUCAUACUAGAUAGAUAGACAUUUAUGUUAAGGAACUGGCUGACAGGAUCGUGGGGGCUGGCAAGUCUGAAACGUCUAGGUAAGCCAGGCUGGAAUUGCAGGCAGAAGCUGGGGCUGCUCUCUUAAGGCAGAAUUUCUUAUUCAGGAAACCUCAUAUUUGCUCUUAUGGCCUUUAAGUGAUUGGACGAGGCCCAACUACAUUAUCUAGGACAAUUUCCUUUUCUAAAGUCAACUGGCUGUAGAUAUUAACCACAUCUAUAAAACACUUUCACAACUCCUAGAUGAAUGUUUGGUUAACUGACUGGGUGCCACAGCCUGGCCAAGUUGACAUAUAAGACUAUUCCAGUCCACACCUUGUCAAUUUGGCACUCACGUGCAUCUCAUUAAACCAUCCUUCACCUCCAAGUAAACACAGGAACAAAAUAAUACUCCUGCCUAACAUGAUACAACUACCAGUGUACAACCAAAAACGCACUCCUGGCUGGGCGUGGUGGCUCACACCUGUAAUCCCAGCACUUUGGGAAGCCAAGGCAGGUGGAUCACCUGAGGUCAGGAGUUCAAGACCAGCCUGGCCAACAUGGUGAAACCCUGUCUCUACUAAAAAUACAAAAACUAGCCAGGCAUGGUGGCAGGCACCUGUAAUCCCAGCUACUCGGGAAGCUGAGGCUGAAGAAUUGCCCAAACCCAGGAAACGGAGGCUGCAGUGAGAGGAGAUGCACCACUGCACUCCAGCCUGGGAGAAACAGCAAGACUCUGUCAAAAAAAAAAAAAAAAAAAAGAAGAAGAAGCAAUCCCCAUUCCUCCAGAAAAGGAUACCAAAAUCCUUGGGUCCUAAAGGAGAGGCUUCACCUUUGACCUACCCUGGCCCUCCCCUUGGCUGAUUUUUCAGAAACCCAGAUCGAGACUCAAAGCCCUGGUGCUACGUCUUCAAGGCGGGGAAGUACAGCUCAGAGUUCUGCAGCACCCCUGCCUGCUCCGAGGGUAAGUGGCAGCCACCCCGCCUUUCCCUGAAUGUCCCUUGGGGAGGAGAGUCCAGGAGGACAGGCCGACAGUCCUCCUGCACCUGAGGGGAGAAAGGGGGAGGCCAGGAGUGAGUCAUUUUGGUUGCAGAGGGAAGAAAGACAGGACUUAGGUCAGUGCCUGGGCUUGGCCUCUGACUGGUUAUUUGUCUGACCUGGAGCUGAUCUCCUCACACUCUGACCCUCAAUUUCCUCCUCUAUGGAGGAGAGGAUGGGGCUGAAUCAGUGGUUUUCAGUCCUUUUGAGAAUGAAUGGAGAUUCUCCCUUUUUUGAUUAAUGGGUGAAUGGGGCUUUCUCUCUCUUUCACUCCCUCUCAAACCUUUUAAUGCAAAAAAAAAAAAACCAA